GAUGAACGCUGGCGGCGUGCCUAAUACAUGCAAGUCGAGCGAACGGACGAGAAGCUUGCUUCUCUGAUGUUAGCGGCGGACGGGUGAGUAACACGUGGAUAACCUACCUAUAAGACUGGGAUAACUUCGGGAAACCGGAGCUAAUACCGGAUGAUAUUUUGAACCGCAUGGUUCAAAAGUGAAAGACGGUCUUGCUGUCACUUAUAGAUGGAUCCGCGCUGCAUUAGCUAGUUGGUAAGGUAACGGCUUACCAAGGCAACGAUGCAUAGCCGACCUGAGAGGGUGAUCGGCCACACUAGAACUGAGACACGGUCCAGACUCCUACGGGAGGCAGCAGUAGGGAAUCUUCCGCAAAGGGCGAAAGCCUGACGGAGCAACGCCGCGUGAGUGAUGAAGGUCUUCGGAUCGUAAAACUCUGUUAUUAGGGAAGAACAUAUGUGUAAGUAACUGUGCACAUCUUGACGGUACCUAAUCAGAAAGCCACGGCUAACUACGUG
rnacentral:rRNA from 1 species